UUUUCGCGGAUUUUCGCGGUUUGCGUAUUUUUUCGCGAAUUUUCGCUGGGCACGAAUUGUUUCGCUGAUUUUCGCGGGGCGAUUUUCAGACACUUUUAUACAUUUCUCAUCCUAUUUUUUCAAUUUCAAGUGAAAUUUUGCACAUAUCAAGCCUGAAAGAUGCCCUAAAUGGACGUAAAGUUUGAGGCCUCUAUCUAUCAUAGUUUCCGAGAUAAUCUACUUUAAAGAUUCUCAGUUCCUCGAAUUGCUUCAUCAACUCUAAUGCGGAAAACUCUGGUAGACACUUGAUAUGGAUCUAAAGGUAUAUCUGACGCAUAUAUGAUUGGAGUAUAGCUAGAUUGGAACCACAAGUAUCCUGCAGAAUCUACAAAUAUUUGAAUAGCAGAGAAUUUGAUUCGAUUGGAGUUGUGUAUAAAACAUCACUCCAUAGGAAUAAUCAAUUGCA